GAUUAACGCUAGCGGCAGGCCUAAUACAUGCAAGUCGAGGGGCAGCAGGGUGUAGCAAUACAUCGCUGGCGACCGGCGCACGGGUGCGUAACACGUAUGCAACCUACCUUUAACUGGGGAAUAGCCCUCCGAAAGGAGGAUUAACACCGCAUAACAUCACGAGACGGCAUCGCCUUGUGAUCAAACCUCCGGGGGUUAAAGAUGGGCAUGCGUCCGAUUAGCUAGUUGGCGGGGUAACGGCCCACCAAGGCGACGAUCGGUAGCUGGUCUGAGAGGAUGAUCAGCCACACUGGGACUGAGACACGGCCCAGACUCCUACGGGAGGCAGCAGUAGGGAAUAUUGGACAAUGGGGGCAACCCUGAUCCAGCCAUGCCGCGUGAGUGAAGAAGGCCCUCGGGUUGUAAAGCUCUUUUGUCCGGAAAGAAAGCAAUCGGUUAAUACCCGGUUGUUCUGACGGUACCGGAAGAAUAAGCACCGGCUAACUUCGUGCCAGCAGCCGCGGU
rnacentral:rRNA from 1 species